rnacentral:rRNA from 1 species
UGGGAACGUGCCCAAAGGUACGGAACAACUCCGGGAAACUGGAGCUAAUACCGUAUGUGCCCGAAAGGGGAAAGAUUCAUCGCCUUUGGAUCGGCCCGCGUCUGAUUAGCUAGUUGGCGGGGUAAUGGCCCACCAAGGCGACGACGGGUAGCUGGUCUGAGAGGAUGAUCAGCCACAUUGGGACUGAGACACGGCCCAGACUCCUACGGGAGGCAG